CCUACGGGAGGCAGCAGUAGGGAAUCUUCCGCAAUGGACGAAAGUCUGACGGAGCAACGCCGCGUGAGUGAUGAAGGCUUUCGGGUCGUAAAACUCUGUUGUUAGGGAAGAACAAGUGCUAGUUGAAUAAGCUGGCACCUUGACGGUACCUAACCAGAAAGCCACGGCUAACUACGUGCCAGCAGCCGCGGUAAUACGUAGGUGGCAAGCGUUAUCCGGAAUUAUUGGGCGUAAAGCGCGCGCAGGUGGUUUCUUAAGUCUGAUGUGAAAGCCCACGGCUCAACCGUGGAGGGUCAUUGGAAACUGGGAGACUUGAGUGCAGAAGAGGAAAGUGGAAUUCCAUGUGUAGCGGUGAAAUGCGUAGAGAUAUGGAGGAACACCAGUGGCGAAGGCGACUUUCUGGUCUGUAACUGACACUGAGGCGCGAAAGCGUGGGGAGCAAACAGGAUUAGAUACCCUGGUAGUCCACGCCGUAAACGAUGAGUGCUAAGUGUUAGAGGGUUUCCGCCCUUUAGUGCUGAAGUUAACGCAUUAAGCACUCCGCCUGGGGAGUACGGCCGCAAGGCUGAAACUCAAAGGAAUU
rnacentral:rRNA from 1 species